rnacentral:tRNA from 31 species
GGAGAGGUGCUCGAGUGGUUGAAGAGGCACGCCUGGAAAGCGUGUAUACCCCUAAAGGGUAUCGGGGGUUCGAAUCCCCCUCUCUCCGCAA